GAUGAACGCUGGCGGCGUGCCUAAUACAUGCAAGUCGAGCGAACGGACGAGAAGCUUGCUUCUCUGAUGUUAGCGGCGGACGGGUGAGUAACACGUGGAUAACCUACCUAUAAGACUGGGAUAACUUCGGGAAACCGGAGCUAAUACCGGAUAAUAUUUUGAACCGCAUGGUUCAAAAGUGAAAGACGGUCUUGCUGUCACUUAUAGAUGGAUCCGCGCUGCAUUAGCUAGUUGGUAAGGUAACGGCUUACCAAGGCAACGAUGCAUAGCCGACCUGAGAGGGUGAUCGGCCACACGGGAGCUGAGACACGGUCCAGACUCCUACGGGAGGCAGCAGUAGGGAAUCUUCCGCAAAGGGCGAGAGCCUGACGGAGCAACGCGGCGUGAGUGAUGAUGGUCUUCGGAUCGGAAAACUCUGUUAUUAGGGGAGAACAAAUGUGUAAGUAACUGUGCAGAUAUUGACGGUACCGGGUCAGAAAGCCACGGCUAACUACGUG
rnacentral:rRNA from 1 species